ACACAGAAAUCUCUAUCUCUACUACUAUUAAACAAGCAAACAUAUUCUUUCCUAAACGCACCCAGAAACACGUACACAGAAAAAUUAAGACCAAAUACCACCCCACGAUCUAACCUAUCUAAUUAGAUCUAACCGUUGGCAUUAGAAUUAACCCUCACCUGUGUACGUUUAGCAAUUUGCACGAGCCACGGACACAGCCCUAGCGAUUGCGACGGCCACGAGAAUCCCCUCAGCGCCGGCGUCCCCGGCGGCCGCGCUCGCCGUGUCGUCCUCGGGAUCACCCGCCGGGUCAGCUCCCUUGACCUAGCCUUCAAGUCCGAAGCCCAGACCUAGCCCGCAGCAGCAUCCCUUCCACAUCCCACUCGAGGAAGAUCGGGAAGAGGAGGCAGGGGAGAUGGGAGUGGGAGGCCGGUCCCGUGGGACCCGGCGGGGGACGAGUAUUGGCGCAGGAGCCGACGCCCGCCUAGCGGCUGCUGGACACCACCGAGCUGGAGCGGCUGCGGCGGGCGGCGCACGGGAUGGGGUGGUUGCGGGCGAAAAAGUGCGGAGUGACGGAUGAGGUGGAGGAGGACCUGCACAAGGUGUGGGCUGGCGGCCAGGGUCCCGCCGGCUGGGCCGUCGAGCCGCUUCGUCCGUGCAUGGACGGAGCAAGGGAGAUCACAUCUUGUUGCCGGAUCCUCCAUAGAAAUAUGAAAUUUUGAUGUAAAUGUUCAUUAAUCAUAACUGACAAUGCUCGAUGCAUGGGUGAGAGUGGAGGCCGGCUGAGGAAGACGACGCCAUCAAAGGGGAUGGAGUUCAUAUUGCAGCCUAUCAAAUGGUUUUAAGAUCCGGAAUAAGUGACUAGGCAAUUGUGUUGUUAAUUUGGUUUAACAGCUUCAAAGGGCACUGAGAAUGAACUUUGCAUUCUACGAAACUCAUUGCUACCUUGCGACCAUAAUUUACCUUCCGAGCGCAAGAGGUGCAGUCAUCACCGUUCCUGCCGUCCUUCGGCUGGGCCAUCAAGAAACUCCUGCAGUUCUCUCUACGUGCACCGUCGAGGUCACCGAAGGUCUCACAAAUCAAUCAGGUGAACCUUUAAUUCGAUCUGGGGUAUUUUGUGGUUUGCAUGACUAAUACUGCACUUUUGGCACUUGGUGGUGGGUCAGAACUUUUUGAUCUGCAAUUUCAUCUACCAACCAAUCUUCCUCUGAUAGAUACUAGAAACAUUUUUUGGGACAGGAAGAAAUUGCUAUUCCGGAGUUUAAUUAAUCAUUUGAUAAUCCCUUUGGAAAAUACAUGUGAUCUGGAGCAUGAAAAUCAUUCUCAUAUAUAGAUAUAGGAGGAAAUGUGGCUGAUGCAAGAGUGUUUUUUAGACCUGUAUUUUUACAAGGAGGUUCAUACUUAUACAUACGAAGAUUAGAAUUUGACUAGAUGCAUAAGUUUGGCUGGUUGAGAAAUUUGAAUUCACUAUCCCUCAUAAAGUGUAUGUUUGGUGGGUGCACGUGCAUUAGAGAAUAAAUAAGAAUCAUGGGGCUUCCAGCGCUCUAGAAUUCUAGCAUUGGGAUUAUCUUAGGUUGCCGAUUACUGUACUGAAAAUGUGUAAUUAGAUAUGACGCGUACAUAAGAAUUGUGCAGCAAUCUUGUCUUACAAAGUGGGAUCAAGAGGGAUACUGAAGAAAUGAAGAUGCAGAGUCUCUGUUUCCUAUGAUUACUUCUCAUGUUCAUGUCGGCUUCCUUGGGCUUUACUUCCUACCACCAGAUGCAUUAAACUGGACCGUAUCAAGAGGGGAUGCGGAACACACUCCUUUAUAUACUUCUUUCCCCGGGAAGUGAAGGUUAUGUUUUUUAAUAUCAUGUGAGCUGCACUUUGUUUUUGUUAAAGAGAAUAUUAGAACUGGACUAUUUGUUUGGACAAAAACAAUGGGGGAGCUUCUUAUUGUACAGAUACAAACUAUUGUAGUAAAAAUACAAAAAAGCGGUCCACAAGAUCUAAGUAGUAACAUGGAGUGCUUUCAUGCAUCAGUUUGCCUUGUGCAGAGAAUAUGUGUAAAAUGUAAGAGUUGUUUUUGCCGAAA